UACUUUUUUUGAAUUAUAAAGGUAUUAUGCAGUAUUAUGCAGUAUUAUGCGAUAUUACGUUGGUAUGGCCAUCGACAGAAAAUUUAUGUGUUUUUUAUGAAUUAUGAAGGUAUUAUGCAGUAUUAUGCGAUAUUACGUUGUUAUGGCAAUCGACAGAAAAUUUAAGUACUUUUUUUGAAUUAUAAAGGUAUUAUGCAGUAUUAUGCAGUAUUAUGCGAUAUUACGUUGGUAUGGCCAUCGACAGAAAAUUUAUGUGUUUUUUAUGAAUUAUGAAGGUAUUAUGCAGUAUUAUGCGAUAUUACGUUGUUAUGGCCAUCGACAGAAAAUUUAUGUACUUUUUUUGAAUUAUAAAGGUAUUAUGCAGUAUUAUGCAGUAUUAUGCGAUAUUACGUUGGUUAUGGAUUAUUGACAGAAAAAAUAUGUAUUUUUUAUGGAACGAUAGAGAGUAUUAUGAAGGCAUUAUGCAGUAUUAUGCGAUAUUACGUUGGUAUGGCCAUCGACAGAAAAUUUUUGUAUUUUUUAUGUAACGACAGAGAGUAUUAUGAAGGUAUUAUGCAGUAUUAUGCGAUAUUACGUUGGUAUGGCCAUCGACAGAAAAUUUAUGUAUUUUUUAUGAAUUAUGAAGGUAUUAUGCAGUAUUAUGCAGUAUUAUGCGAUAUUACGUUGGUAUGACCAUCGACAGAAAAAAUAUGUAUUUGUUAUAUAGAGAGGAUGUCGGAUAAUGCGGUUUCAUUUGUCGGGUCCAUUUGGUUGGAGGAGAAGUAUGACUGAACGUCUGUCGGCUUUUUAUGUCGAUAAAGUAUGAAGGUUGUUAGUUAUGUUGUACGUCGUGUGUCGGGACCACUUAGCCCGGUGCUAAAUGAAGUCGUUGCCCUCAUGCUCCCUCUGCGAACUAGAUGCAUCUUUUUUUUAAAACGCGCAUAUAGACAGCUAUAGGUAAUUUUUGUAAGCAACCUUUUAAAAUUACAGCAAAUCUUACACUUACUUCUACCAUUUAAUGAUAGUGUACGAUAAUUUCGGAAAACUAAGUAGAAAAUCAACUUGGCUUAUUGCCAUGGUUACGCGUUUCCAGGAAAAACAACACACUUGUCUGCAUAUUGCCGCACGUAGUGUAGUGGGUUCAUCUGUGGCUCCAAGUUCUGGGGACCGCGGAUCCAAUCCCGCUCACUGCUUGGCAGUAUGUCAGUAAUGAACAAAGUAGUUCUUCUUCAAUAUGACUUACACGCGUUAUACUUGCCCGUCAUGAUCAGGGGUCUGAUUGGGGUGGAACAUUCUCUGUUGAGAAUGAAAUACGGAUAUGCUAUGAUAAAUAUUCACCUAUAUGUAUACCCACCAUCCGGAUAAUAUAUCUGAGUUCAUCACAAACAUAUUGCCGCACGUAGUGUAGUGGGUUUGUCUGCGCCUCCAAGUUCUGGGGACCGCGGAUCGAAUUCCGCCCACUGCUUGGCAAUAUGUUAGUGAUGAACAAAGUUGUUCUUCUUCAAUAUGACUUACACGCAUUAUACUUGCACGUCAUGAUCAGAGGUCUGAUCGGGGUGGAGCAUUCUCUGUUGAGAAUGAAAUACGGAUGUGCUAUGAUAAAUAUUCACCUAUGUACACUUGUCUGCCCUACAAGAAAAUAAAAACGGAUGCUGUGAUCUAUCAUAGUUAAUGGAAAAAAUACUAUGGUUAAAUGCACUGUCGCCUGUUUUUGUUUCGCGACUGUACAGUGAAAGAAUAACUAACUUGUAAGGUAAAAGAUGUGAAGAAAAUAAUUGAGUCACUACCAACUUCGUCACCUUGUUCAGGUUUCGUCCAGCCUCGUGCCCAGGGUUUGUUGCCUAUUUUAAAGCGGCUAGCGCUUACUUGACGGCCGGCCCCGAUUUUAAAAAGGCAAAGCCUCCUGGGGACGAGAUUGGGUUCCGUCAAAAAACAACUUAACAAUUCCUUGGAACAAGGUUGGCGUCACCACUUGUAUUAUCAGCGACCAUAUUCCGUGUAAUGUUGGAAAGUGAACUGAGAAAGACGCAUUUGUCUUUCCUGUGGAUUUUACGAGUUACGAGUUGUGCAAGGCUGGCGAGUUCACUACUAUUUAGGAAACCGUUGUUUCAAAAGCAUUUUGUUUUGUUGAUGAAGUUGAUAGCCUCUGUAAUAACAGGUCACAAGACCCUGAGCACGAGGUUGUACUUAGGGUAGUCCGCUUGUAGCUUGGUGUGCAUAGAGUCAGAUGCUGAGAGCUGUGUAAAUGACAUUUUGGAUUGGAAGGAGUUAAAUGCAGGAAAUUCAGGAAAAAGAAUCUGUUUCAUCAAUCAGUAUAAACAUCGUUAGGGGUAUGACCGAUUAUCUUUAGGAAACAUGAAAAUAAUUACACGACGCAAAAAUUAAUUUAAACCGGUUUAUGUACUUUCAAAUCCGCAUCCCAUAAAUAACUUGUUGCUUUUAGUUGUAUCCAAUAAAAUCGCCUGCUCAUGUGCUGUCGAAAUGUGGUUACGUUACGGACGAUUGUCUUGAUUAUGACAAGAAUGUCCAUUGACAGAGCUUUCCAAAGCAAAUAAAAGCCAGAAUAGCAUUAACGCUAUAAACUAACGGCAACCUUUCAAGAAGAAAUAAGGCAGUUCAAGCCAUAGUUUAAAAUAACAACGGCAACAACAGCAAACUAACCAGUAACUGAACAUUUCUGCAGCGUUGGUGAAUUGUCUGAUCAUUCAGUUGUCUGGCAAACCUCUGGAAAGCUGUCUUCAAGAAUAUAAAAUAUAAAAUAUUAUAAUAUAUUACUACUUUUUUAAUGCAAGUCUUUAUCAUUCAUUAUUGUAUGAUUUCACACUCUUGUGUUGUUCAGUGCUUAUCAGAUAUUUUUAGCUGAAAGAUAAGACUGUUUUUAUCAUCUGCA